AGUGAACGCUGGCGGUAGGCCUAACACAUGCAAGUCGAACGGCAGCACAGUAAGAGCUUGCUCUUACGGGUGGCGAGUGGCGGACGGGUGAGGAAUACAUCGGAAUCUACUUUUUCGUGGGUGAUAACGUAGGGAAACUUACGCUACUACCGCAUACGACCUACGGGUGAAAGCAGGGGAUCUUCGGACCUUGCGCGAUUGAAUGAGCCGAUGUCGGAUUAGCUAGUUGGCGGGGUAAAGGCCCACCAAGGCGACGAUCCGUAGCUGGUCUGAGAGGAUGAUCAGCCACACUGGAACUGAGACACGGUCCAGACUCCUACGGGAGGCAGCAGUGGGGAAUAUUGGACAAUGGGCGCAAGCCUGAUCCAGCAAUACCGCGUGGGUGAAGAAGGCCUUCGGGUCGUAAAGCUCUUUUGUUGGGAAAGAAAAGCUGCAGGUUAAUACCUCGCUGUUCUGACGGUACCCAAAGAAUAGGCACCGGCUAACUUCGUG
rnacentral:rRNA from 1 species